rnacentral:lncRNA from 1 species
CAAGGUAGGACCCUGGCCAAGACACCCCAGACCCUGGCCACAAUCACCCAAACCCAGACGGCAGCACGAGCCAUGUCUCACCUUGGGAUCUCUCCUGCCACCACCGCCAGAGGAGGGGUCUCGGCCCCACGCAGCCUGGCCCGGCCUUCGGCUUCCACCCUACAAGGGACCCAAGAGACAAGGUGACACCCACAGUGAGACGCCAUCGACUGGGCUCCUCGGGCGGUCGGCGCUGCCCCGUUGGGCUCGAGGAUGGAAAGGCAGGAAGAGAAAGGCAUUCCUCCCCGCACGGCCACUGGGCAACCCAAGGGGCCCGCCCCACCCAACGAGGCCUCGCCAUCCCUCGGGGGGGCCUCUAGGACCCGUCCCCUGGCUUUCGGUCUCUCUGGGCCGCGGAGGACCAGCUGGGCCCCUGUGCAGGACGUCCAAGAGACCUUCCUAGCCAGAGCUGUCCCAUCCCUGGGACGCCAGAGCCCUUCUGGACUGCUGGCCUCGCCCGCAUCUGCCGCCCACCCUCCACCAGCCCCUCGCACUGCCCUGCCCAGCCCAGCCCCGACAAGCCCUGGGAUGCUGCUCACACUGGCCUUCUGGAUCCAGAGACAACGCUGCCAUCCUCGCCUGCUCAUCCAGGAAGGAGCCUGCCUUCGGGUCCGGCGGCUGCACACUGAGGAGUACAAAGCCAAGAGCAGGAGACCCAAUGGCACAGCCAUUCUCCAGGCUCGCGGCUUCCACACACACACCUGGCCAUAGCCUGGCAUGCGGCAUACCAUGGGGGUCACCAAGGACCUGGCAAAUGCCUUCACUCCCUUUCUCUCUAGAUUCAGUUCUCUGAUACUGCCGGACGGGUGCUCACAUUUUCCCAUUGGGCUAACACCAGGAAAAUGCUGGAAUGCCCGUGCUCUGUCAGUCACCCUCGUCGUUUCCUGACCUCGGCCUAUUGGGUCACUGCUUUGUGGACAUUGAACCAGAUUCCUCCUUCAGUGGACCUCGGAGUUUCAGACAGGUUUUCAUCGUACAGGACGCAUAUGCCACCAGGAGUCAUCUUCAAUCCUAUACUGUCCCUCCUGUGUUCCCUUAGCUUGACCUUCUUUGUUGAUCAAUUUAUUAAAGGGCUGGGUAAGAUAUCAAUACCCUACCUGAACUUCCAGGGGUCCGUGGGAUGGGAAGCGUCUCAUGAUACCUGUCACCAUGGACUGUGCAAUUUGGUCUUGCCUUUACUCCCUCUCCCUUUCGUUUCCUUUUCU